rnacentral:rRNA from 1 species
CACGUAGGGGCCAAGCGUUGUCCGGAUUUAUUGGGCGUAAAGAGCUCGUAGGCGGUUCGACAAGUCGGGUGUGAAAACUCCGGGCUCAACCCGGAGACGCCACCCGAUACUGUCGUGACUGGAGUCCGGUAGGGGAGUGGGGAAUUCCUGGUGUAGCGGUGAAAUGCGCAGAUAUCAGGAGGAACACCGAUGGCGAAGGCAGGUCUCUGGGCCACUACUGACGCUGAGAAGCGAAAGCAUGGGGAGCGAACAGG